UACGGGGGGGGCAAGCGUUGUUCGGAAUUACUGGGCGUAAAGCGCACGUAGGCGGAUUUGUUAGUCAGGGGUGAAAUCCCGGGGCUCAACCUCGGAACUGCCUUUGAUACUGCAAGUCUCGAGUCCGAUAGAGGUGGGUGGAAUUCCUAGUGUAGAGGUGAAAUCCGUAGAUAUUAGGAGGAACACCGGUGGCGAAGGCGGCUACCUGGACCGAUAUUGACGCUGAGACGCGAAAGCGUGGGGAGCAAACAGG
rnacentral:rRNA from 1 species